rnacentral:lncRNA from 1 species
AUUCAUUAUUUCUAAGACGAGGAGAAUAAGAGAUAUUUAGUGAACAUGUAUGUUAGGCCGAUAAACCGCCCAUUAACUGCCCUAUAAGAGCUAACCCGAUACCAAUCCGCCCGAUAUCUUAUCGGGUGGCUAACGGAUUAAUAUAUUUAAAAGCCGAUAAUCGUUAAGCCAAACCGUUAAGAGUAAAAGCCCCCCAAUCCGCCCGAUGAACACCCCUAC